GAUGAACGCUAGCGGCAGGCCUAAUACAUGCAAGUCGGACGGGAUUGAGUAGCUUGCUAUUCAUGAGAGUGGCGCACGGGUGCGUAACACGUAUGUAACCUACCCUUGUCAGGGGGAUAGCCUCUCGAAAGAGAGAUUAAGACCGCAUAACAUUGUAAUGUGGCAUCACAAAACAAUCAAAUAUUUAUAGGACAAGGAUGGGCAUGCGGAGCAUUAGCUAGUUGGUAAGGUAACGGCUUACCAAGGCUACGAUGUUUAGGGGAUCUGAGAGGAUGACCCCCCACACUGGUACUGAGACACGGACCAGACUCCUACGGGAGGCAGCAGUAAGGAAUAUUGGUCAAUGGGCGGAAGCCUGAACCAGCCAUGCCGCGUGCAGGAAGACGGCCCUAUGGGUUGUAAACUGCUUUUGCAGGGGAAUAAACCUCGAUACGUGUAUCGAGCUGAAUGUACUCUGAGAAUAAGGAUCGGCUAACUCCGUGCCAGCAGCCGCCGCCGUAA
rnacentral:rRNA from 1 species